rnacentral:rRNA from 2 species
UACGGGAGUGGCAAGCGUUAUCCGGAAUUAUUGGGCGUAAAGCGUCCGCAGGCGGUUCUGUAAGUCUGCCGUUAAAGCGUGGAGCUUAACUCCAUUUCGGCGGUGGAAACUGCAGGACUUGAGUGUGGUAGGGGCAGAGGGAAUUCCCGGUGUAGCGGUGAAAUGCGUAGAUAUCGGGAAGAACACCAGUGGCGAAAGCGCUCUGCUGGGCCAUAACUGACGCUCAUGGACGAAAGCCAGGGGAGCGAAAGGG